ACGGCUCAGUAACACGUGGAUAAUCUGCCCUUAGGUGGAGGAUAAUCUCGGGAAACUGAGGAUAAUACUCCAUAGAUCUAGAAUGCUGGAAUGCAUCUAGAUUAAAAGCUCCGGCGCCUAAGGAUGAGUCUGCGGACUAUCAGGUUGUAGUCAGGGUAAAGACCUGACUAGCCUACGACGGAUACGGGUUGUGAGAGCAAUAACCCGGAGACGAUAUCUGAGACACGAUAUCGGGCCCUACGGGGCGCAGCAGGCGCGAAAACUUCACACUGUGCGAAAGCACGAUGAGGGAAUCCCAAGUGUUUGCUCGUAAGAGUAAACUGUUUCUUUGUUUAAAAAGCAGAGAGAGUAAGGGCUGGGUAAGACGGGUGCCAGCCGCCGCGGUAAUACCUGCAGCUCAAGUGGUGAUCAUUAUUAUUGGGCCUAAAACGUCCGUAGCCGGUU
rnacentral:rRNA from 1 species